UACGUAGGGUGCGAGCGUUAAUCGGAAUUACUGGGCGUAAAGCGUGCGCAGGCGGUUUUAUAAGCCAGAUGUGAAAGCCCCCGGGCUCAACCUGGGAAUGGCAUUUGGGACUGUAAGGCUGGAGUAUGGCAGAGGGGACUAGAAUUCCUGGUGUAGCAGUGAAAUGCGUAGAUAUCAGGAGGAAUACCGAUGGCGAAGGCAGGUCCCUGGGCCAUAUCUACGCUCAUGCACGAAAAGCGUGGGGAGCAAACAGG
rnacentral:rRNA from 1 species